GGUGGCCCUCCAGGAGGCGGGAGGCGCCCGCUGUCGAGGCAGCUGAGCUCUGGCAACCGCUGCUCUCCGCCUCUCCCCUCGCGGGGCCGGCUCAUGGAGCGCAGGGCCCGUGCUGGCUCUCACCGAGCCCCGGGCCUCUUUUAGCCUUGCCCCCAGAGAGGGAGGAGCCGGUGCCCGGCACAGCCCUGCCGGCCCUAGCAGCUCCCCACGCGCCACCAUGCCUCUGCUGGACGUCUUCUGGUCUUGCUUCAGGAAGGUGAAGUGAAAAGACCAAAACAUCUACAUGGAGUCAAGCCCUUCACCUAUCUGAGCCACAACUUGCUAGCUGUGUUGACCAUGAGAAAGUUACUUCGCCUUUCUCAAAAGAAGACAUUUAUGCAGUCAACAGACACAUGAAAAAAUACUCAUCAUCACUGGCCAUCAGAGAAAUGCAAAUCAAAACCACAAUGAGAUACCAUCUCACACCAGUUAGAAUGGCGAUCAUUAAAAAGUCAGGAAACAACAUCAGGAGAGGAUGUGGAGAAAUAGGAACACUUUUACACUGUUGGUGGGACUGUAAACUAGUUCAGCCAUUGUGGAAGACAGUGUGGCGAUUCCUCAAGGAUCUAGAACUAGAAAUACCAUUUGACCCAGCCAUCCCAUUACUGAGUAUAUACCCAAAGGAUUAUAAAUCAUGCUGCUAAUAAAGACACAUG
rnacentral:sRNA from 1 species